GGAUUGUGGCGCAGUGGUAGAGCACUUGCCUAGCAUGUGUGAGGCACUGGGUUUGAUUCUCAGCACCA
rnacentral:tRNA from 1 species